AACGAACGCUGGCGGCAGGCUUAACACAUGCAAGUCGAACGCAUCCUUCGGGGUGAGUGGCAGACGGGUGAGUAACGCGUGGGAACGUGCCCUUCAGUUCGGGAUAACCCAGGGAAACUUGGGCUAAUACCGGAUACGUGCGAGAGCAGAAAGAUUUAUCGCUGAAGGAUCGGCCCGCGUCUGAUGAGCUAGUUGGUGGGGUCAUGGCACACCAAGGCGACGAUCAGUAGCUGGUCUGAGAGGAUGAUCAGCCACAUUGGGACUGAGACACGGCCACAACUCCUACGGGAGGCAGCAGGGGGUAAUAUUGGACAAUGGGCACAAGCCUGAUCCAGCCAUGCCGCGUGAGUGAUGAAGGCCUUAGGGUUGUAAAGCUCUUUCGUCCGGGACGAUAAUGACGGUACCGGAAGAAGAAGCCCCGGCUAACUUCGUGCCAGCAGCCGCAGUAA
rnacentral:rRNA from 1 species